rnacentral:rRNA from 1 species
UACAGAGGGGGCAAGCGUUGUUCGGAAUUACUGGGCGUAAAGCGCACGUAGGCGGCUUGGUAUGUCGGGUGUGAAAUCCCCGGGCUCAACCUGGGAACUGCAUCCGAAACUGCCUUGCUAGAGUAUGGGAGAGGGAAGUGGAAUUUCCGGUGUAGCGGUGAAAUGCGUAGAUAUCGGAAGGAACAUCAGUGACGAAGGCGACUUCCUGGACCAAUACUGACGCUCAGGUGCGAAAGCGUGGGGAGCAAACAGG